AUUCAAAUAGCUUAAAUAGAAAGAGUAUAGUAUUGAAGAUACUAGGGAGACAGAAGUCUUUGAAUA
rnacentral:tRNA from 1 species